rnacentral:rRNA from 1 species
AUUGAACGCUGGCGGCAUGCCUAACACAUGCAAGUCGAACGGCAGCACGGUGUGUAGCAAUACACAUGGGUGGCGAGUGGCGGACGGGUGAGCAAUACUUAGGAAUCUGCCUAGUGGUGGGGGAUAACCAGUCGAAAGAUUGGCUAAUACCGCAUACGACGGUGACGUGAAAGCGGGGGAUCGUAAGACCUCGCGCCAUUAGAUGAGCCUAAGUCCGAUUAGCUAGGUGGCAGGGUAAUGGCCUACCAAGGCGACGAUCGGUAGCUGGUCUGAGAGGACGACACACCACACUGGAACUGAGCCACGGUCCAGACUCCUACGGGAGGCAGCAGUGGGGAAUAUUGGACAAUGGUGGGACCCCUGAGCCAGCCAUGCCGGGUGUGUGAAGAAGGCCUUAUGGUUGUAAAGCACUUUAAGCGGGGAGGAGGCUUACCUAGUUAAUACCUGGGAUAAGUGGACGUUACUCGCAGAAUAAGCACCGGCUAACUCUGGGCCAGCCGCCGCAGUAAGAC